ensembl:rRNA 5S_rRNA 5S ribosomal RNA
GUCUAUGGCCAUACUACCCUGAACGUGCCCGAUCUCGUCUGAUCUUGGAAGCUAAGCAGGGUCGGGCCUGGUUAGUACUUGGAUGGGAGAAUUAUGAUUCUUUAUGAAGGACUACACCAUUGUAGUAA